rnacentral:tRNA from 1 species
GGUUGUAGCUCAGUGGUAAAGCACUUGCCUCAUAUGUGUGAGGCACUGUGUUUGAUCCUCAGCACCA